rnacentral:rRNA from 1 species
UUCCGGUUGAUCCUGCCGGAGGUCACUGCUAUCGGGGUUCGAUUAAGCCAUGCGAGUCGAGAGGGUUCAGACCCUCGGCGGACUGCUCAGUAACACGUGGAUAAUCUGCCCUAUGGUGGAGGAUAACCCCGGGAAACUGGGGAUAAUACUCCAUAAGUCAGGAGUACUGGAAUGUCUCCUAACUGAAAGUUUCGGCGCCAUAGGAUGAAUUUGCGGCCGAUUAGGUAGUUGUUGGGGUAACGGCCCAACAAGCCCGUAAUCGGUACGGGUUGUGGGAGCAAGAGCCCGGAGAUGGAAUCUGAGACACGAUUCCAGGCCCUACGGGGCGCAGCAGGCGCGAAAACUUUACAAUGCAGGAAACUGUGAUAAGGGAACCCCGAGUGCCCGUACACGCGGGCUGUCCCGGUGUUUAAAACACAUCGGAAGAAAGGGCCGGGCAAGACCGGUGCCAGCCGCCGCGGUAAUACCGGCGGCUCGAGUGGUGACCACUUUUAUUGGGCUUAAAGCGUUCGUAGCUUGAUUUUUAAGUCUCUUGGGAAAUCUCACGGCUUAACUGUGAGGCGUCUAAGAGAUACUGGGAAUCUAGGGACCGGGAGAGGUAAGAGGUACUUCAGGGGUAGAAGUGAAAUUCUGUAAUCCUUGAGGGACCACCGAUGGCGAAGGCAUCUUACCAGAACGGCUUCGACAGUGAGGAACGAAAGCUGGGGGAGCGAACGGGAUUAGAUACCCCGGUAGUCCCAGCCGUAAACUAUGCGCGUUAGGUGUGCCUGUAACUACGAGUUACCGGGGUGCCGAAGUGAAAACGUGAAACGUGCCGCCUGGGAAGUACGGUCGCAAGGCUGAAACUUAAAGGAAUUGGCGGGGGAGCACCACAACGGGUGGAGCCUGCGGUUUAAUUGGAGUCAACGCCGGG